GGCUCAGGAUGAACGCUAGCUACAGGCUUAACACAUGCAAGUCGAGGGGCAGCGCAGUGUAGCAAUACAGUGGGCGGCGACCGGCGCACGGGUGCGUAACGCGUAUCCAACCUUCCGAUACUCAGGGAUAGCCUUCCGAAAGGGAGAUUAAUACCUGAUGGUGUUCAAAUUCCGCAUGUUAUUUGAACUAAAGAUUUAUCGGUAUCGGAUAGGCUCGCGUGACAUUAGCUAGACGGCGGGUAACGGCCACCGUGGCGACGAUGUCUAGGGGAACUGAGAGGUUUAUCCCCCACACUGGUACUGAGACACGGACCAGACUCCUACGGGAGGCAGCAGUGAGGAAUAUUGGUCAAUGGAGGCAACUCUGAACCAGCCAAGUAGCGUGCAGGAUGACGGCCCUAUGGGUUGUAAACUGCUUUUAUGCGGGGAUAAAUGAGCCUACGUGUAGGUUUUUGCAGGUACCGCAUGAAUAAGGACCGGCUAAUUCCGUG
rnacentral:rRNA from 1 species